UUAUAUUUAACCAAAUAUAAGUCAACCACAUAUUACAUUCUUUUCUUUUAAUAUACAUCACAUGAUCCAUCCACCAAAACAUAUGAAUUUACAACAUUUACAUCACCAUUCAUCAUAUACAAAAGAUGAUAAGAUACAUGGUAUGACUAUACUCGGGUAGCCGCUAUCUAGGGUGCGAUGCCCUUGCCGCGAUCCUCGACCGCCCCGCUCGCGCUAGGAUCUGCAAGGUUAGUGGUGUGAGAACUAAAGAAAGUUCCUAGUGGGUUCGGCCGCCGACCCCGCCGACUCACCCACUAGGUCUACUCAGGUAUAUGUAGGAAAAGAAGAGAUAGAUAGAAAACCAUACUAAUGCUACU
rnacentral:lncRNA from 1 species